rnacentral:rRNA from 1 species
CCUUAGAGUUUGAUCCUGGCUCAGGAUGAACGCUAGCUACAGGCUUAACACAUGCAAGUCGAGGGGAGACGACAUCGAAAGCUUGCUUUUGAUGGGCGUCGACCGGCGCACGGGUGAGUAACGCGUAUCCAACCUGCCCACCACUUGGGGAUAACCUUGCGAAAGUAAGACUAAUACCCAAUGAUAUCUCUAGAAGACAUCUGAAAGAGAUUAAAGAUUUAUCGGUGAUGGAUGGGGAUGCGUCUGAUUAGCUUGUUGGCGGGGUAACGGCCCACCAAGGCAACGAUCAGUAGGGGCCCUGAGAGGAAGGUCCCCCACAUUGGAACUGAGACACGGUCCAAACUCCUACGGGAGGCAGCAGUGAGGAAUAUUGGUCAAUGGACGAGAGUCUGAACCAGCCAAGUAGCGUGCAGGAUGACGGCCCUAUGGGUUGUAAACUGCUUUUAUAAGGGAAUAAAGUGAGUCUCGUGAGACUUUUUGCAUGUACCUUAUGAAUAAGGACCGGCUAAUUCCGUGCCAGCAGCCGCGGUAAUACGGAAGGUCCGGGCGUUAUCCGGAUUUAUUGGGUUUAAAGGGAGCGUAGGCCGGAGAUUAAGCGUGUUGUGGAAUGUAGACGCUCAACGUCUGCACUGCAGCGCGAACUGGUUUCCUUGAGUACGCACAAAGUGGGCGGAAUUCGUGGUGUAGCGGUGAAAUGCUUAGAUAUCACGAAGAACUCCGAUUGCGAAGGCAGCUCACUGGAGCGCAACUGACGCUGAAGCUCGAAAGUGCGGGUAUCGAACAGGAUUAGAUACCCUGGUAGUCCGCACGGUAAACGAUGGAUGCCCGCUGUUGGUCUGAAUAGGUCAGCGGCCAAGCGAAAGCAUUAAGCAUCCCACCUGGGGAGUACGCCGGCAACGGUG